UUCAUUUUUUUCAAAGAACAACACAAAAAAAGAAGAAAAGGGGUUCCUUUUCUCUGCUAGGGUUCGAAACCCAGCAUGGGAACCCCGCCGCCAUCCUCCGUUCUUCCCUAGCAACGCUACGGAGGAUGAUGGCCAGCGUCAUGCAGAACAAAGGGCUUCUGCCCUUUACCACCGAAAUAGGCAAGAAGAAAAUGAAAAAAAGAAAAAGAAGCCGUCCUCGUCCCUCGUUUCAACUCGUCUCCGACGACAGAGAUCAGGGCUCCGGCGAAGAGACCGUGGCGCUCAGGUCAGAAGGCUGGUAAUUGGCGAGCAACGUCGGUGGCGUGCGAGGAGGCGUGCGACGGCGCGGCGCUAGAGAAGGCCUGCAGACAUGCGGCGCCCUAGGGUUUGCUUCACUGCUGAAUGGGGUUAAUUUUGGGCUAGGGUUUCUUCAUUUUUUUGGGCCUGGGUAUUUUGUUUUCUGACUUGGGCCAUAUCAGGCCUGCUUCAAUGGACUGUGGUCCUUUAUUUAUUUUGUUUUAUUAGCCACUGGGCCCGACAAAUUUAGGCUUCUACAUAAUUAUAUCAAUAAUUAUCUUAAUAAUUUAUAAGAA